UAUUUAUUAGUUUAAAAAAAAAACAUUAUAUUUUCAAUAUAAAAAUAAUAAAUUUUACAUUAUAAAUAA
rnacentral:tRNA from 1 species